rnacentral:rRNA from 1 species
CGCGCAGGCGGCCUAUCAAGUCAGGCGUGAAAGCCCCGGGCUUAACCUGGGAAUUGCGCUUGGGACUGGCAGGCUGGAGUUCGGGAGAGGAGAGUGGAAUUCCCAGUGUAGAGGUGAAAUUCGUAGAUAUUGGGAAGAACACCGGUGGCGAAGGCGGCUCUCUGGACCGAUACUGACGCUGAGGCGCGAAAGCGUGGGGAGCAAACAGGAUUAGAUACCCUGGUAGUCCACGCUGUAAACGAUGUGCGCUAGACGUUGGGAGGCGUAGCCUUCCGGUGUCGCAGCUAACGCUUUAAGCGCACCGCCUGGGGAGUACGGCCGCAAGGUUAAA